GAUGAACGCUGGCGGCAGGCCUAACACAUGCAAGUCGAGCGGACGGAGGGGGCGUUCUCCUGUAUGCAGCUGCGGACGGGUGGGUGAGGACUAGGAAGCUGCCUUGUCUUUGGGGAUAACGUCACUAAAGGGGCCCUAAUACCACAUACGUCCUGAGUUUGAAAGGGGGGGAUCAUCAGAGCUCACGCUAUCAGAUGAGCCUAGGUUGGAUUAGCUAGUUGGUUUGGUAAAGGCUUACCAAGGCGACGAUCCAUAACAGGUCUGAGAGGAUGAUCAGUCACACUGGAACUGAGACACGGUCCAGACUCCUACGGGAGGCAGCAGUGGGGAAUAUUGCACAAUGGGCGAAAGCCUGAUGGAGCAAUGCCGCGUGUGUGAUGAAGGUCUUCGGAUUGUAAAGCACUGUAAGUUGGGAGGAAGAUAAGUAAGUUAAUCUCUUGAUGUUUUGACGGUACCAACAGAAUAAGCCACGGCUAACUUCGUG
rnacentral:rRNA from 1 species